rnacentral:lncRNA from 1 species
CAUUCUUUUAAAUGACAUCUAAAGGUGCAGGGAAAGAUUCCAGCAGCUGAGCAUCCAUCAAGCCCUAUGCGCCGCAAUGCAGGUAACAUCUCACACCAUUUUGCUGCUUAUUGUAACCUCUCUCACACUGCUGCAACAGAUGAUUCCAAAGCAUAAUCUCUGUGUAACCUCUCUAUUGUAACCUCUCUCACACUGCUGCAACAAAUGCAGGUAACCUCUCACACCAUUUUGCUGCUUAUUGUAACCUCUCUCACACUGCUGCAACAGAUGAUUCCAAAGUAUAAUCUCUGUUUUUUUUCUGUCGGUGCUUUAAUAAGCAUGAAGGAUAAACUGAUGACAGCAAGCAAUCAUGCAUGCAUCUAGUGGCCUUGCUUCCACAUUUUUCCAUAUGAUGAGGCCAAUGAAUCAGCCGGCCACAUGCAUGCAUAUAGGGUGAGAAGAACAAGAGAGAGAGUUCAUCAGACAUAACAGAGGCAGUUGCAUCUCGUUUCACCUCAUUCUACAUGCACGUCUUUACAUAACCAUAAGCAUAUCUAUUAUGUAGAUAUAUAGGGACGGAGGUUUGCAUGUCUACUAUUUCCUCAGGCAUUCACGGAUGACUUUAGGACAAGUACUAAGGCCCCUGAAAGUCCAGUGUACACUGUCAGGUAUGGCUCAAAGGUUGCACUUUUGCAUACCCAAAAGAGAACGCACCUCACGACAACCCAAUGCUGCUUGAUGUGCGUAUCGCCGGAAACCUUCUGCAGCCCAUCGGAUUAUGGUACGGUGAAGUCCAGGCUUCGAUCAUGUUCAACGGCGUCAAUGGUAUGGUGAAGUAGAGCCGGUGACUCCUGCCGUUCCUUGUUUUGAGCCAGAGACCAUUGCAACAACAGUCCCAACUCUCGUUCUUACUACUAUUCGAUUCACUAGUUGUAUGCAGAAGUUUUCUCUAGUUUUAUAUGCAGUUGUACUGUAUCUGAUAGAGGGGAGAACUCUUGUUCUUCUAUUUGAUUUAAAUAGAUCUAUGUUUAGUUUGGAAA